rnacentral:rRNA from 1 species
CAUGAAGCUGGAAUCGCUAGUAAUCGCAGAUCAGAAUGCUGCGGUGAAUACGUUCCCGGGUCUUGUACACACCGCCCGUCACACCAUGGGAGGUCGGAAAUGCCCGAAGCCGGUGACCCAACCAAAAGGAGGGAGCCGUCGAAGGCAGGUCUGAUAACUGGGGUGAAGUCGUAACAAGGUACC